UACAGAGGUGGCAAGCGUUGUUCGGAAUUACUGGGCGUAAAGGGCGCGUAGGCGGCCAUCUAAGUCAGACGUGAAAUCCCCCGGCUUAACCUGGGAACUGCGUCUGAUACUGGAAGGCUUGAGUAUGGGAGAGGGAUGUAGAAUUCCAGGUGUAGCGGUGAAAUGCGUAGAUAUCGAGAGGAACACCAGUGGCGAAGGCGAGUCUCUGGACAUUUCCUAACGCUGAGGCACGAAAGCCAGGGGAGCAAACAGG
rnacentral:rRNA from 1 species